rnacentral:rRNA from 1 species
AAUCAACGCUGGCGGCGUGCCUCAGACAUGCAAGUCGAACGAUUAAAGCUCUCUUCGGAGAGUGCAUAGAGUGGCGCACGGGUGAGUAACACGUAAGUAAUCUACCUUCGAGUGGGGAGUAACAUCGGGAACCGAUGCUAAUACCGCAUAAUGCAGCGGCAUCGCAAGAUGACAGUUGUUAAAGAUUUAUCGCUUGAAGAGGAGCUUGCGGCAGAUUAGCUAGUUGGUAAGGUAAUGGCUUACCAAGGCUACGAUCUGUAACCGGUCUAAGAGGACGGUCGGUCACACUGACACUGAAUAACGGUCAGACUCCUACGGGAGGCAGCAGUCGGGAA